UACGGGGGGAGCAAGCGUUGUUCGGAUUUACUGGGCGUAAAGGGCGCGUAGGCGGCACUGUUAGUCAGGCGUGAAAGUCCUGGGCUCAACCUGGGAACUGCGCUUGAUACGGCAGAGCUAGAGGAUGGAAGAGGGUCGCGGAAUUCCCAGUGUAGAGGUGAAAUUCGUAGAUAUUAGGAAGAACACCAGUGGCGAAGGCGGCUCACUGGCCCGGUACUGACGCUGAGGCGCGAAAGCGUGGGGAGCAAACAGG
rnacentral:rRNA from 1 species